rnacentral:rRNA from 1 species
GACGAACGCUGGCGGCGUGCUUAACACAUGCAAGUCGAACGGAAAGGCCCUGCUUUUGUGGGGUGCUCGAGUGGCGAACGGGUGAGUAACACGUGAGUAACCUGCCCUUGACUUUGGGAUAACUUCAGGAAACUGGGGCUAAUACCGGAUAGGAGCUUCUGCUGCCUGGUGGGGGUUGGAAAGUUUCGGCGGUUGGGGAUGGACUGGCGGCAUAUCAGCUUGUUGGUGGGGUGGUGGCUGACCAAGGCUUUGACGGGUAGCCGGCCUGAGAGGGUGACCGGCCACAUCACGACUCAGAUACGGCCCAGACUCCUACGGGGGGCAGCAGUGGGGAAUAUUGCACAAUGGGCGGAAGCCUGAUGCAGCAACGCCGCGUGCGGGAUGACGGCCUUCGGGUUGUAAACCGCUUUCGCCUGUGACGAAGCGUGAGUGACGGUAAUGGGUAAAGAAGCACCGGCUAACUACGUG